rnacentral:rRNA from 1 species
GAUGAACGCUGGCGGCGUGCCUAAUACAUGCAAGUCGAGCGAACGGACGAGAAGCUUGCUUCUCUGAUGUUAGCGGCGGACGGGUGAGUAACACGUGGAUAACCUACCUAUAAGACUGGGAUAACUUCGGGAAACCGGAGCUAAUACCGGAUAAUAUUUUGAACCGCAUGGUUCAAAAGUGAAAGACGGUCUUGCUGUCACUUAUAGAUGGAUCCGCGAUGCAUUAGCUAGUUGGUAAGGUAACGGCUUACCAAGGCAACGAUGCAUAGCCGACCUGAGAGGGUGAUCGGCCACACGGGAACUGAGACACGGUCCAGACUCCUACGGGAGGCAGCAGUAGGGAAUCUUCCGCAAUGGGCGAAAGCCUGACGGAGCAACGCCGCGUGAGUGAUGAAGGUCUUCGGAUCGUAAAACUCUGUUAUUAGGGAAGAACAUAUGUGUAAGUAACUGUGCACAUCUUGACGGUACCUAAUCAGAAAGCCACGGCUAACUACGUG